AGCAGUAGCCGCGGUAAUACGUAGGUGGCAAGCGUUGUCCGGAAUUAUUGGGCGUAAAGCGCGCGCAGGCGGAUCAGUUAGUCUGUCUUAAAAGUUCGGGGCUUAACCCCGUGAUGGGAUGGAGACUGCUGAUCUAGAGUAUCGGAGAGGAAAGUGGAAUUCCUAGUGUAGCGAUGAAAUGCGUAGAUAUUAGGAAGAACACCAGUGGCGAAGGCGACUUUCUGGACGAAAACUGACGCUGAGGCGCGAAAGCCAGGGGAGCGAACGGGAUUAGAUACCCCGGUAGUCCCUGUCUCUUAUACA
rnacentral:rRNA from 1 species